ensembl:lncRNA
CACACACACACACACACACACACACACACACACACACACACACACACACACACACACACACACCAGGUCAGGCCUAGCUCUAACAGGACUGAAAUGACAACAUUAGAUCUGAGGAAGGGAGAGAGAGAGAGUAAGAGCAACAGAACAAAGGUUUGGUUUAUUUGUCGGUCUACGCAAUAUUCACACACAUCUUUUACACAUCCGUUAUUAACUAUUAGAAUCUUUCUUUUGCAAAAAGGCAAAAAGAGACGUUGAUAGAGUUGUUUGGGGGUCAAUGUCCAUUUGAUGUGAUUCCCAAAUAAAAUAAUUACUCUUUAGAAGAGACAAACAAUAAACCUCUGUGUUGAAUUAUUUGCGUUGUCCUCAACCAACAACAGUACUUAUUCAUGAUGGCGGUCCUGUGCGGUCGCCUGAAGGUUAGAGGUCAAUAAUUUCACUGCUGACGCUGGCUGAGUCGUCCUGUCGGCUCACCUCCAGGUAACUCCGCGACGCCCCCUGCCUCCCAGCAGGUGCUCCCUGUGAAGGGCCGCGUCGAUGCUGCGGGUCAGAUCGAUGGGAGAGGGCGGCCUCAGGUCAAACUCGUACAGGGAGACCCCCGUGUCCUUGUCCGUGUCCAGGCUGCCGCUGAGGGAGCGCUGGGGGGGGCGGCCCAGCGCCUGCAGUCUCAGCAGGGAUCCCGUGGAGCCGUCGGACAUGCCCCGCUCCGCAGACACACCCCGCUGGUUGCGCCCACGGUUGCUGUCUUUGACGCAGCGCUGCUGAGCACUGGCUAGCUCGUGGUUCUGGUUACGGAUCAGACUCUUGCUGAUGUCAGCGCCAGGCCGCUCCUGUCCAGCCCAAUUAUUAGGCAAUUCCCCAGGCCCUCCCCCUUCCCCUCCACCGCCUCCUCCUCUCCCAACCCCAUUACUGUCAGACUUCUUGUAGGGCUUUCCCUUCAGGCUCUGCACGAUCUUGGACCAGCAGGUGUGCUUGUUAGUGGUGGGUGCAGAAUGGCAAGGGGAUGUCUGUUCCCCUGCUGUUCCAUCUCCAGCUCCUCCUUCGUCCCUUCCCCUGAGCGCCCUCGGGCUUCCAGAACACCCAGGAGGCCAGCAGCAGCAGAGAGAACCCCCAGGCCAGCUCCAGCAGCCGGGCCCAGAAAUGCACGAGCCACCAGCACCAAGUGAAGUGCUUCGAGUUCCUCAGGAGUCCGUAGAGCCAAACGGUGGCAUAGACGUGUAGACCACAACACAGCGCCCCCAACAGGGCGCACACAGCCAGCACUCUGCCUAGGAUCAGCCCUGUCCUCCUGCUUCCAGUCCAGGCCGUCCUCCCGGCUUCCUCCACACCUCCCGGAACAGGUGGAGCCGGGCAGCGGAUACGCGGGAAGACAUAGCAGAGGAAGCCCAGGCAGACGAUGAGGCCCCAGCCAAGGGAGAGGACCUGCAGGGUGACGGGCACCACGGGGGACAGAGCAGGGGAGAGCAGGUCAGCAGCCAGCAGCAGGGUGCACUGCAGCACAGCCAACACGGCCACCAGAGGAGGUCGCUCCCAAGGGCGCGGGGAGCACGCUCACUGCCGCCACCCUCAGGGCGAGCAGAGCCAUGGCGGCCUGCGCCCACACCAACAUGUGCAGCGGCAGGUUGUACAGGGCGAUCACCGCCGCGCGAGGCAGCGAGUGACGCGUGCCGUACGGAUCGAGGAGAAAGAAAGACGCCCGGAUCCCUCCCACCAGGAGGAGGAGGGCGUUGGCCAGAACCAGGGCCCCCCGGUGAGGGCAGUCCGUGCCGGGGGACAGCAUGAGGCCCAGGGUGGCUCCAGCUAAAAGAAGGAGGAAGAGGCUGGCGGAGCCGUAGACGUGGAGGUCCCAGGCGAAGGCCAGCGUACGCUUCAGGUCGUCCCAGUGGAGACGCGUGCUGUUAGGGGAGGAAAUGAUGCUGGGAGAUGGGGUGGGAUUGGCAGGUGGAGCAGUGGGAGCUCGAUGGCGGUGCACAGGUGCCACAGAGCGAUUCCUCUGAACAAUAUCAGGCUGGUGGAUGGGGUCAAAGCUUCCUCGGCCAACUGUCCCGAAAGUAGUAGCAGUGAUGGAAGUCAUCACUAGAAAAAAGGAGAAGAUAUUUUACGUUUGUUAUUAUAAGUAUAAUGCCG